rnacentral:rRNA from 1 species
GUUGAACGCUGGCGGCGUGCCUAACACAUGCAAGUCGAGCGAACAGAGGCGGCGCGUUGCUGUCGGACGGCGGCCGGGGGCGUGAGACAAACACACGGAUAACGUAGCUGUGGGUCUGUGCUAACUUGGGUAACCCGUACCUAAUACCGGAUAUGAUAGUGAACCGGAUGGUUCAAGACUUAGAGAGAGUGUUGCUGUCGCUUAUAGAUUGAUCCGCGCCUGAUUAGAUAGUUGGUCAGGUAACGGCUUACCAAGUCAACGAUGCGUAGCCGACCUGAGAGGGUGACCGGCCACACUGGAACUGAGACACGGUCCAGACUCCUACGGGAGGCAGCAGUAGGGAAUCUUGCGCAAUGGGCGAAAGCCUGACGGAGCAACGCCGCGUGAGUGAUGAAGGUCUUCGGAUCGUAAAACUCUGUUAUUAGGGAAGAACAAAUGUGUAAGUAACUAUGCACGUCUUGACGGUACCUAAUCAGAAAGCCACGGCUAACUACGUG